AGUGAACGCUGGCGGUAGGCCUAACACAUGCAAGUCGAACGGCAGCACAGUAAGAGCUUGCUCUUACGGGUGGCGAGUGGCGGACGGGUAAGGAAUACAUCGGAAUCUACUUUUUCGUGGGGGAUAACGUAGGGAAACUUACGCUAAUACCGCAUACGACCUACGGGUGAAAGCAGGGGAUCUUCGGACCUUGCGCGAUUGAAUGAGCCGAUGUCGGAUUAGCUAGUUGGCGGGGUAAAGGCCCACCAAGGCGACGAUCCGUAGCUGGUCUGAGAGGAUGAUCAGCCACACUGGAACUGAGACACGGUCCAGACUCCUACGGGAGGCAGCAGUGGGGAAUAUUGGACAAUGGGCGCAAGCCUGAUCCAGCCAUACCGCGUGGGUGAAGAAGGCCUUCGGGUUGUAAAGCCCUUUUGUUGGGAAAGAAAAGCAGCAGGUUAAUACCCCGCUGUUCUGACGGUACCCAAAGAAUAAGCACCGGCUAACUUCGUG
rnacentral:rRNA from 1 species